CGGUAUAAACUGCAUCAGCGGGAUUGCCUAAUACAUGCAAUGUCGAGCGAAUGGAUUAAGAGCUUGCUCUUAUGAAGUUAGCGGCGGACGGGUGAGUAACACGUGGGUAACCUGCCCAUAAGACUGGGAUAACUCCGGGAAACCGGGGCUAAUACCGGAUAACAUUUUGAACCGCAUGGUUCGAAAUUGAAAGGCGGCUUCGGCUGUCACUUAUGGAUGGACCCGCGUCGCAUUAGCUAGUUGGUGAGGUAACGGCUCACCAAGGCAACGAUGCGUAGCCGACCUGAGAGGGUGAUCGGCCACACUGGGACUGAGACACGGCCCAGACUCCUACGGGAGGCAGCAGUAGGGAAUCUUCCGCAAUGGACGAAAGUCUGACGGAGCAACGCCGCGUGAGUGAUGAAGGCUUUCGGGUCGUAAAACUCUGUUGUUAGGGAAGAACAAGUGCUAGUUGAAUAAGCUGGCACCUUGACGGUACCUAACCAGAAAGCCACGGCUAACUACGUGCCAGCAGCCGCGGUAAUACGUAGGUGGCAAGCGUUAUCCGGAAUUAUUGGGCGUAAAGCGCGCGCAGGUGGUUUCUUAAGUCUGAUGUGAAAGCCCACGGCUCAACCGUGGAGGGUCAUUGGAAACUGGGAGACUUGAGUGCAGAAGAGGAAAGUGGAAUUCCAUGUGUAGCGGUGAAAUGCGUAGAGAUAUGGAGGAACACCAGUGGCGAAGGCGACUUUCUGGUCUGUAACUGACACUGAGGCGCGAAAGCGUGAGGAGCAAACAGGAUUAGAUACCCUGGUAGUCCACGCCGUAAACGAUGAGUGCUAAGUGUUAGAGCGUUUCCGCCCUUUAGUGCUGAAGUUAACGCAUUUAAGCACUCCGCCCUGGGGAGUACCGCCCGCAAGUUUGAAAACUCAAAAGGAAUUGACCGGGGGCCCCGCACUAAGCGGUGGAAGCAUGUUGGGUUAAAUUCGGAAGCCAACCCGGAAGAAACCUUAACCAAGUUCUUGGACAUCCUUCUUGAAAAACCCCUAGAAAAAAGGGGCUUCUCCCUUCCGGGGAGCCGAAGUUUACAAGAAGGUUGCCAUUGUUUGUUCCGUCCAGACUCCGAG
rnacentral:rRNA from 1 species